GAGAAAGAACCAACAGGGAUUGCCUUAGUAACGGCGAGUGAAGCGGCAACAGCUCAAAUUUGAAAGCUGGCCCUUUUAGGGUCCGCGUUGUAAUUUGUAGAGGAUGAUUCGGCGAGGGCUCCUGCCUAAGUCCCCUGGAACGGGGCGUCAUAGAGGGUGAGAAUCCCGUAUGCGGUAGGUUGCCUUAGCCAUGUGAAUCUCCUUCGACGAGUCGAGUUGUUUGGGAAUGCAGCUCUAAAUGGGAGGUAAAUUUCUUCUAAAGCUAAAUACUGGCCAGAGACCGAUAGCGCACAAGUAGAGUGAUCGAAAGAUGAAAAGCACUUUGGAAAGAGAGUUAAAAAGUACGUGAAAUUGUUGAAAGGGAAGCGCUUGCAACCAGACUUGUCCGCAGUUGCUCAGCCGGUCUCCUGACCGGCGUACUCUUCUGCGGCCAGGCCAGCAUCAGUUCGGGCGGUCGGAUAAAGGCCUCGGGAAUGUAGCUCCUCUCGGGGAGUGUUAUAGCCCGGGGUGGAAUGCGACCAGCCUGGACUGAGGAUCUCGCUUCGGCAAGGAUGCUGGCGUAAUGGUUGUAAGCGGCCCGUCUUGAAACACGGACCAAGGAGUCUAACAUCUAUGCGAGUGUUCGGGUGUCAAACCCGUACGCGUAAUGAAAGUGAACGGAGGUGGGAACCCGCAAGGGUGCACCAUCGGCCGAUCCUGAUGUCUUCGGAUGGAUUUGAGCAAGAGCAUAGCUGUUGGGACCCGAAAGAUGGUGAACUAUGCCUGAAUAGGGUGAAGCCAGAGGAAACUCUGGUGGAGGCUCGCAGCGGUUCUGACGUGCAAAUCGAUCGUCAAAUUUGGGUAUAGGGGCGAAAGACUAUCGAACCUCU
rnacentral:rRNA from 1 species